CCGGCUCGGCGCGUCGCCUACGAACGAGCGGACCGAGUAACCUGUCCUUGGAUAUCUCCGCUAUCUUUCUGAACGCACCUCUACCGAACGGCGUCAUGAAAGUGACCGCUGUGCUGUGCACGCUGUUAGGUAAACAACAACAUUCUGGUUUAUCGCUGAUGUAGAUCGGGUGUAACUCAAAAUAGAAAAAAAAAAGAUGUCAGAGCAAGAAGAACGCAAAUGAAGGUAUCAUGCACUAAGAAGGAAAAUGAUCGUAUAUAAACAGUGCUGUAAAUAAACGAUGUGAAAUUGA